GACGAACGCUGGCGGCGUGCCUAAUACAUGCAAGUAGAACGCUGAAGAGAGGAGCUUGCUCUUCUUGGAUGAGUUGCGAACGGGUGAGUAACGCGUAGGUAACCUGCCUUGUAGCGGGGGAUAACUAUUGGAAACGAUAGCUAAUACCGCAUAACAAUGGAUGACACAUGUCAUUUAUUUGAAAGGGGCAAUUGUUCCACUACAAGAUGGACCUGCGUUGUAUUAGCUAGUAGGUGAGGUAAUGGCUCACCUAGGCGACGAUACAUAGCCGACCUGAGAGGGUGAUCGGCCACACUGGGACUGAGACACGGCCCAGACUCCUACGGGAGGCAGCAGUAGGGAAUCUUCGGCAAUGGGGGCAACCCUGACCGAGCAACGCCGCGUGAGUGAAGAAGGUUGUCGGAUCGUAAAGCUCUGUUGUAAGUCAAGAACGGGUGUGAGAGUGGAAAGUUCACACUGUGACGGUAGCUUACCAGAAAGGGACGGCUAACUACGUG
rnacentral:rRNA from 1 species